rnacentral:rRNA from 1 species
AGAGCGAACGCUGGCGGCAUGCUUAACACAUGCAAGUCGCACGGUAUAUCUUCGGGUGUGCAGUGGCGGACGGGUGAGUAACGCGUAGGUAUCUAUCCUUGGGUGGGGGGACAACUGUGGGAAACUACAGCUAAUACCGCAUGAUGUCUGAGGACCAAAGGCGCCCAUGGGAGUGGGAUGUCGCCUGGGGAGGAGCCUGCGUACGAUUAGCUUGUUGGUGGGGUAAAGGCCUACCAAGGCGACGAUCGUUAGCUGGUCUGAGAGGAUGAUCAGCCACAUUGGGACUGAGACACGGCCCAAACUCCUACGGGAGGCAGCAGUGGGGAAUAUUGGACAAUGGGCGCAAGCCUGAUCCAGCAAUGCCGCGUGUGUGAAGAAGGUCUUCGGAUUGUAAAGCACUUUCGCCGGGGACGAUGAUGACGGUACCCGGAUAGAAGCCCGGCUAACUUCGUGCCAGCAGCCGCGGU